rnacentral:tRNA from 1 species
UGGCUCAGUGGUUAAGAGCACUGGCUGCUCUUCCAGAGAUCCUGGGUUCAAUUCCCAG